AUUGAACGCUGGCGGCAUGCCUUACACAUGCAAGUCGAACGGCAGCACGGGAGCAAUCCUGGUGGCGAGUGGCGAACGGGUGAGUAAUAUAUCGGAACGUGCCCCAGUAGUGGGGGGAUAGCCCGGCGAAAGCCGGAUUAAUACCGCAUACGACCUGUGGGUGAAAGCGGGGGGAUCGCAAGACCUCGCGCUAUUGGAGCGGCCGAUAUCAGAUUAGCUAGUUGGUGGGGUAAAGGCCUACCAGGCGACGAUCUGUAGCUGGUCUGAGAGGACGACCAGCCACACUGGGACUGAGACACGGCCCAGACUCCUACGGGAGGCAGCAGUGGGGAAUUUUGGGACAAUGGGACGCAAGCCUGAUCCAGCCAU
rnacentral:rRNA from 1 species